UAGGGAAUCUUCCACAAUGGACGAAAGUACUGAUGGAGNAACGCGCGUGAGUGAAGAAGGGUUUCGGCUCGUAAAACUCUGUUGUUAAAGAAGAACAUAUCUGAGAGUAACUGUUCAGGUAUUGACGGUAUUUAACCAGAAAGCCACGGCUAACUACGUGCCAG
rnacentral:rRNA from 1 species